rnacentral:rRNA from 1 species
CGGACGGGUGAGUAAUGCCUAGGAAUCUGCCUGGUAGUGGGGGACAACGUUUCGAAAGGAACACUAAUACCGCAUACGUCCUACGGGAGAAAGCAGGGGACCUUCGGGCCUUGCGCUAUCAGAUGAGCCUAGGUCGGAUUAGCUAGUUGGUGAGGUAAUGGCUCACCAAGGCGACGAUCCGUAACUGGUCUGAGAGGAUGAUCAGUCACACUGGAACUGAGACACGGUCCAGACUCCUACGGGAGGCAGCAGGC